UCGGUCCCCUUGUCGUGCGGUUCAACAUAUGUAGGCCAAACGGGCAGAUGUCUGAAUGACAGAUUACAUGAGCAUAGAUAUAAGGUGGAAAACGAGCUCUCCGGUCAUAUAAGUGCGCAUUGUAAGGCGCACAAGUGCAUCCCUGAUUUCGAUAGAACCAGUGUUCUGUACAGAGCUGACCAUCAACUCACUAGGGAGAUAUUGGAAGCGCUUGAGAUUAAAAAGCGCGGUCUAGAAUGUAUCAGUGAAGCCUCAGUUUCGCUUUCGACAAAGGAACUGGCAUAUCUUGAGAGUGACUCUUGAAAUGUUAUUCUGUAUCUUCGCUUCCUUGUGCGAUGCAGAUGACUGCCCUGUUUAGUUCUUGUUGUUUUUUGACAGCAGCUAUAUAUUGCUAUGUCGGGAAAUAAAACACUCAGUUGUUAGUGCGCCUACGUGCUGUCUCGUGUUUCCCUUCUUCGUGUGUUUGUUUUAUUCGGCGCCGUUUUUGUAAUCAUGCUUAACCAACUAGCCCACCAACACAUGCUCAAUAAACCUAGUUAUUCGAAUGCUACUUCCCGUCAUCAUCCGUUCUGCCGAUCUGCACUUGGCCCUGCCGGAGCUCAUCCCCCUUCAUCGUCGUCUCCCUGCCCACCGCAGCAGCUUCACGUUUCUUUGCGCUACACGGAGGGCCUGCGUGGUUCGGUAUGCAUGGCUCGGAAUGAUUUUUGCCGAAAUGACGGUCAACGCUGGGCGCGGGACGCUGACGUCUGAUUUUCUGCGACACGGGUCCUUUAAUGCUAUCGCGUUAAUAUAGUCACCUAGCCUGUUUGAUUCAAUAAGCGCGAUCGUGGCCUGGGCCGGCGCGUCGCUCAACACCUCAGCUCCGGGCACGUACUUCUGCACGAUGGACAGCACUUGCUUCCUCUGGAAGGGCACCGAGGGACUCUUGACCAGGCGGAUCUUGUAGCCUACGCCUGCGUCAUCAUCCAUCAUCGUGGGCUACAGUGGCAAAAAACGGUUUGCUGGGAAUUGCUGUCGGUUUAUCAACCACUGGUCACGUGUGCCACGAGGCACGCCACACCAACGAUGCAUAUCAGCUUUUGAAAUUGGUCCCAUCAGCAAAUCAACAAGCGUCAUCUCAUGAUGGUGCGGAUCUACUAGCGAAUCCUAUCGAACAACGCGGCAUGCCGUCAUCAACAGCCGAGCAUAUAAAAGAGGUACCUCACUACAACUUCAGUGGGCACGACGGACCUGGCACUGCCAUGACGCUAAACAGGAAACUGUUUUUCGUACUGCAGACUUGGUCCAUCGUCAUUGAAAAAAGUCGACAAUUACAAAUACUUAGGCGUUACAGUAACAACUAACUUGGAGCAAAGUCAAAAGAGGUGGUGGCGUAGCAAUGUUAUUCACCAGCUUAAUUGAUUCUGAACUAAUGUCAGAAUUCUGCUGUCACUCCUUUUUAUGAAACGCUUGCUAUCAGAUGCGGUACUUCCGUUUUUUGUGUUUGUUACCGCCCUCCUACAAAUACUACCCGUCUGUUUUUCCCCUUUUUGAACUCUGUUAGAAUUCAUCAGUGAAAGAAAAUACGCAUUAAUUCUAGGUGGUGACUUCAUCAACAUGUUAGCUGAUAGCAGUGCUAAAUUAGAACUCGAAUCGCUGUAAAGCUCUCAUUCCUGUCAAAAAUUUAUAACAUCCCCCAUGCGGAUCACUCCACAAUCAACAACACUUUUAGAUCUGUUUAUAACCAAUUUUGAUCCUUCAUUUGUUAAGGCUGGCACAUUAAUUCAUAAUAUUAGCGACCACUUGCCUAUAUUUAUGUUUGUAAGUCUAUUCAUUAACGCACCUAAACGACUGCAUUCGGAGUUUUCAUACAGACUAAUUACUCCUGAAACACUCCGUCUUUAGAGACCGCGUAGGCAGAACAAACUGGAACGCAACGAGCGACCCAAACUUAGCAUACGAUUUUUUUGUGAUGAAGUUCUGUGAAUUAUACUUUGCAUGUUUUCCCGUCAGCACUUUUAAACCACGCAAAAAAAGUUGGAAACCUUGGGUAAAUACAGAAUGCCUCAAGCUUGCAAGAAAGCGGGACCAUUAUUUAAGGCAUUUAUAGUGAGUAAUUUUCCUGAAGCCCUCAAAAUAUUCAAGAAAUACAGAAAUUUUGUCACUAAACACCUUCGUGAUCCAAGAAAGCAAUAUUAUUCUAACCUGCUCAACUCGACUCAAGGGCGCAUAGAAAAUGUUUGGAAGGCACUUAACACUGUAAUUAGUAGUGCAUCUGAGGCAGUAACCAAAAUUGUAGAAGAUAGAAUAGAAAUUCAAGGCCCUGAGCUAGCGACUUCUUUCGACUUCUUUCGAUUUAACGACUUCUUUCUAUCAGUUGCUGACGCUACCACCAGCAGCGGUGACCUAAGAUAUAUGAAUGAUCGAACUAACCAAACCACAUUUCUCGAGCCAGUUUCAGAUGGUGAGCUUGUAGCUACAAUUCUAACUCUCAGCAAUAGCAAAUCCACUGAUGCGGACAAUAUUCAAAUGAAACCAGUAAAAUAUGUCAUUGAUACACUAGCACCCUGCCUUACCUACAUCUUUAAUAUGUGUUUAUCUACGGGAUUAUUCCCUCGAAAUAUGCAGACAGCAAAAGUAACAGUUGUACAUAAAAAGGGUAAUAGAAAUGACAUGUCCAACUACCAACCUAUGUCAGUUCUGCCUGUAUUUUCCAAGGGUUUAGAGAAAACAGUUUUGAAAUGCCUGACCUCUUUCACUGACCCCUUCAACUUGAUAAGUUCUGCAAAGUAUGGUUUUCGUAGAAACAAGUCUACAGUGCUCGCACUACUGACCCAAAAUGAAUUCCUUCAAAAA